rnacentral:rRNA from 1 species
UGGGUAACCUGCCUCAAAGAGGGGAAUAGCCUCCCGAAAGGGAGAUUAAUACCGCAUAAUAUGUUUAAGUCGCAUGACUUUAACAUCAAAGGAUUUUCUUUUAAGAAAUUCCACUUUGAGAUGGACCCGCGGCGCAUUAGCUAGUUGGUGAGGUAACGGCUCACCAAGGCAACGAUGCGUAGCCCGACCUGAGAGGGUNAUCGGCCACAUUGGAACUGAGACUACGGUCCAGACCUCCUAGGGACG